rnacentral:rRNA from 1 species
CGGGAACUCAAAGGAGACUGCCAGUGAUAAACUGGAGGAAGGUGGGGAUGACGUCAAGUCAUCAUGGCCCUUACGAGUAGGGCUACACACGUGCUACAAUGGCAUAUACAAAGAGAAGCGACCUCGCGAGAGCAAGCGGACCUCAUAAAGUAUGUCGUAGUCCGGAUUGGAGUCUGCAACUCGACUCCAUGAAGUCGGAAUCGCUAGUAAUCGUAGAUCAGAAUGCUACGGUGAAUACGUUCCCGGGCCUUGUACACACCGCCCGUCACACCAUGGGAGUGGGUUGCAAAAGAAGUAGGUAGCUUAACCUUCGGGAGGGCGCUUACCACUUUGUGAUUCAUGACUGGGGUGAAGUCGUAACAAGGUAACCGUAGGGGAACCUGCGGUUGGAUCACCUCCUUACC